rnacentral:rRNA from 1 species
UAGGGAAUAUUGCACAAUGGGGGAAACCCUGAUGCAGCAAUGCCACGUGAGUGAGGAAGGUCUUAGGAUUGUAAAGCUCUGUCCUAUGGGAAGAAUGGUAUUAUGGCUAAUAUCCAUAGUAUUUGACGGUACCAUAGAAGAAAGCACCGGCUAACUCCGUGCCAGCAGCCGCGGUAAUACGGAGGGUGCAAGCGUUGUUCGGAUUUACUGGGCGUAAAGCGCGCGCAGGCGGAUUGAUAAGUCAGAUGUGAAAUCUCGGGGCUUAACCUCGAAACUGCGUCUGAAACUAUCGAUCUAGAAUGUCAUAGGGGGUAGGGGAAUUUCACGUGUAGGGGUAAAAUCCGUAGAGAUGUGAAGGAACACCGGAGGCGAAGGCGCCUACCUGGAUGAUUAUUGACGC